GAUGAACGCUGGCGGCGUGCCUAAUACAUGCCAGUCGAGCGGAAGGACGAGAAGCUUGCUUCUCGGUUGUUAGCGGCGGAGGGGUGAGUAACACGUGUAAAACCUACCUAUAUGACGGGGAUAACUUCGGGAAACCGGCGCUAAUACCGGAUAAUAUCUUGAACCGCAUGGUUCAAAAGUGAAAGACGGUCUUGCGGGCAGUUAUAGAUGGAUCUGCGCUGCAUUAGCUAGUUGGUCAGGUAAAGGGUUACCAAGGCUACGAUGCAUAGCCGACCUGAGAGGCUGAUCGGCGGCACUAGAACUGGAACGCGGUCCAGGCUCCUAAGGGAGGCCGCAGUCGCGUACGUUCCGCAACGGGCGAGAGUCUGACGGAGCGACGCCGCGUGUGUGAUGAAGGCGCUCGGAUCGUAAAACCCGGUUAUUAGGUAUGAACCGAUGUGUCAGGUGACGUGCACAUCUUGACGGUACCUGAUCAGAAAGCCACGGCUAACUACGUG
rnacentral:rRNA from 1 species